rnacentral:lncRNA from 13 species
AGGGAGGAGCUGGUCAUUACAUCACGGAAUCAGGUUUCCUGGGCCACUUGCUUUGUGACAUUAGAUAAGUCAUUUCCUCUCAUCUGUAUUUGAGAUGGACUCAACAUCCAAAUUAAGGAACAAAUGACAACUUAUGAUUUAAAAUGGAAGCAAUGUGUUUAGUUCUUGAAAGGAAAAGGGAUUUGCGAGAUAAAGGGGUCUUUUUACGGCCAUAACAGCACUAGUUUCAUUGAAUUUUGAGUCAUUUUUUAAAUUGGCUAAGGCAAUGGUUAAGCAGUUGGUCUCGUGCCAAAUAAUUAUUUCACCUUGGAAAUUUAUGAGAUGCUAGACAAAAUAGACACUUUCAAAAUCUCUUUGCUCAAAUACAUAUUAGCUGCACAAACUUGGGCAAAUGAACCGCAAAGUCUGACUCUCUUCAUCUGAAAUGUGAUCUUUCAGAUCUUCUAUGCCUGAGGAUUAAAUGAAAUAAGAGGCUUUGCUGUGGAUUAUGCAUCAACUAUAAAAGUUACAGCCCCUGCUCCCAAAGAACUUGCAGCGUCACAUGGCAGACCUGCAUGCGGCUCACUUCAGUCCGUGAUCAGUCUGCCUGUCAGUUCUAGAGUUCUCAACAUGGUCAAGCACUCUGGUUGGUGCUCAGGACACAGAGACAGAAACAUUAUGGUCCUGACUACAUGGAGUCAGGGGAAUCCUGGGAGAGCCAUCUGGAGUUAGGCUGUCUUGAUUGAAUCGAAAGUGCCAGUUGCUAAUACUGUACCUUGGCCCAUAUCACAUACUGAAUGACUUGCAGAGGGCAGAAGACAUUCCAAGCAGAGGCCAACAUGUGACUGAAGGCAAAAACCACUGACAAGGGCAGGAAGGAGGUUGGAGCCAGAGGUGAUCCCAGUAGGAAUUUGCUCUUUAGGCUUGAGUCAAAGGUUUAUAUCCAUGGAGUAGUGAGUGAGUGACAAGUGAUGAGUAGGAAAAGGAGGCUACAGGAAGGCAUGGUGGAUCUUGAAUAACAGGCUGAAAAGUUUAUAUUUAUAACCGAAAGCAACAGGAAGCCCCUGCAGAUUUUUCACCAGAUCAUUCUGCGCUAUACUGAGCAACCUGCAGAUGGGUUGGUCAUACAUCAUACUAAUGUAAACUGCAUUACCCCAGGAUACAGAAACUGUUACCAGGACAACCACAGGAUGAAAGGAUUCAGAAAGAACAUGCCAGUGCUUUGGGAGGCUUAGGUGGGAAGAUCACUUGAGGCCAGGAGUUUGAGACCAGCAUGGGCAACAUAGCAAGACUGUCUCUAUAAAAAUAAAGGUAAUUAGCCAGGGGUGACA